UGGACACGCAUCACACAACCCCAUGGGGAUAUCGUUCUCUCAUCCUCACAAGAUCUAUUGGAAUAAGAAGAUAGGAAAGGACAGCACAGCAUAUAUGUGGAAUUCUGCAGAAGCAAGUGUUAAUAUGUAGUUAGAUGCUCUCUUCAAGGGGGAUCUGAUCAAUGUCUCCCUAGGGAGUGUAAGGAUUAAUUAGCUGAAGUUUGUAGGCUCUUUGAAGCUAAAAAACACUGUGGAAGUGCUAAGCAUUAUCGUGGUAACUGGAGAGUGAGGCAGAAGUGAUUUGCAACAUCAUCAGUUCUUUGGAAUAAAUGAUGUCUCUCUACUGCUCUGUUGUCAGUGCCGAGCACCCGCGUCCACAGGAAAAGAUCUCCACCAAUUUCAGUUAUUGCUGCUGCUGCUGCUGCUCUGGAAUCCUGUUCCUAUUCAUUGUUCCUGCAUACAAGAACCUGGAAACCCAGAGGGUAGCUUCCAGACUCCAGCAACUUCCAGUUACAGCACUGCUGAAUUCAUAUAUCUGGGAAUGAAUUUUUUAAAUGGUUUUUAUCAGUGUAAAUGACAUCAAUUUAUAGAAAUUUUGUUAUUUAUUUCUAGUUAUUUUAUCUUUU